rnacentral:rRNA from 1 species
UACGAAGGGGGCUAGCGUUGCUCGGAAUCACUGGGCGUAAAGCGCACGUAGGCGGCUUUCUAAGUCAGGGGUGAAAUCCUGGAGCUCAACUCCAGAACUGCCUUUGAUACUGGAGAGCUUGAGUCCGGAAGAGGUGAGUGGAACUCCGAGUGUAGAGGUGAAAUUCGUAGAUAUUCGGAAGAACACCUGAGGCGAAGGCGGGUUGCUGGGCCGACACUGACGCUGAGGCGCGAAAGCCAGGGGAGCGAACGGG